ACCCCGAAACCUUCUCUUGGUCAUCCGUCCCUGAACCCACCCGGGAGGAAGAUUAAAGGAUCCUUGGUACCUAUACGGGCAUCUCUCCUCCUUCCUUUGCUUCGUUUCUGGAAAAAUCUCUGCCACAGUAGCUGGAAGGCCAAGGAAUAGAAGGGAGAAGGAUCACACUGAGAGGCAGCAAAGGCAAGUCACUGUGAGAGCUUUAGGGACAUCUGUGACUUGUAGGACGUGUCCUCAGCUGUACACAUUGUUCUCAUGCCAUUGAGUAGCUAUGACAGCUUGCUCCACUGGAGCAUCUGCAUCCAGGGAAGGACAAAAAAUGUAGAGGAGUAGGAGAGAAGAUUCAUUAAUACACUAAGGGAUUCAUCUUAUCUCCAUACAGGUGUCCUGCUCCCAGCAUCUUGACAUUCAUGUUCUCCUGCAUCUGUGACAGCAACAGAUAACGCCCACCAUGGAGCUGCAGGAGCUUAGGAAAGGAAAAUAUUUCAAGAGCUGAUUUUGCAUCUUUCCUCUUCCUUAAACAGAAAAUGACUCAUUGAAAUGCUCACCAGCUUCCUCCAUGCAGAUAAAGAUGAAGCUGAAGGCAUGGACCCCAGAAGAGCUUGAUGCCGAAGGGAGGAGAGUAGGGCCGCUCUGUUGUCAGAAAUGAGUCAGAACCACAGUUUUUACCUCGAAAUGCUAAGUAAAGCUCUUCAGAAUGCAGAUCUGUCUUUGAAAGACAAAAUGCAAAAUAGACAAACUCAAAUGCAAGCUGAACAGCCCCUGCCUUUUCGGAGUCAAAUGUUAACCUUACAGCCAGGGCUUAAGCUAAAAAUAUUGCUGGGAAAUUACCGGCAGUGUUGUUCCAGUGCCCCCAAAAGAGAACCUAAACACAUAUUUUUUUUCCUCCUUAAAAGUCUUUCAUGUAAAAACCUGACUAUUAAAGGAAAAUGGGAAUUUUGACAUUUCUAUCAGUAAGACAGGAUUUCAGUCCUUGCUUUUGUGUUAUAAAAUGUAUAGAUCAAAUAUUCUUUCCAUGCUUUAGGCUUCAAGUCCAUCUCUGUCACAAAUAUUUUUUAUUCAUAGCACUUUCUAUUCUGUUCAGAGAAGAUGUGUGCUCUUGAGUGAGUUUUUUUUUUGCUGCUUUUCUUGAGAGAACACAAGCAAUAGAGAUAAAGAUUCAUUUCAGUAUCUUAGAGCUUCCCUAAAUCUGGAGCAUUUCCAAAAUAGUUCAGUGGCUAAUGUUAUCUGGACCACUCCAGAGCUCUUCCAUUUUUUUUCCAGUUCACCAAAAAUAACUCUCCCUGUUUUGAAUGUAAAUUCCAGAAUGCAGAGUAUAAAUCUAAUUUAUUCAGAGAUAAAAAUGAUAUACUGUUAUUUGCUAGCUGUAGAGGAAGACACACUGUAGGGGCAGUAUAGUUCUGGCUAUGGUAUUUAAAAAUGUUUUUGAGCCUGAGAUCAGAAGUGAAAUGCAUGGAAGUUCUGAGCAGGAGAAAAGCAAUAGAUCCAUGAGAUCAUAUGGGAGAGAGAACAUAGAAAUAGAAGAUUAAAAGAGAAACUAAAUCUGUUUUUCAGAAGUGCUACAAGAAAAGCACCAUCUUGAACUAGUGAGCAAGCAGUCUGUUAAUACAGAAUUUAGGGAACAUUGGGUUAUUUCCAUAAAUAAUAUUUUCAAUUAAAACAGAGAUAGUAGAACCAUUUAAACAAGACAUAUUUACCAUUUUUUUUGUUUUCAAAAGGCUAUAGUUGUAGAUGAGUGAGAAAAACCUUGCAACCUACUCAUUCUCUUGCAAAUGACAACAAAUAAAACUAUUCAGAAUUAAGUCCCCUCUAA